rnacentral:rRNA from 1 species
AAUCAACGCUGGCGGCGCGCUUAACACAUGCAAGUCGCACGAGAAAGGGGGAGCAAUCCCUGAGUACAGUGGCGUACGGGUGAGUAACACGUGGGUAAUCUACCUCUUAGUGGGGGAUAUCUCUGGGAAACCGGAGUUAAUACCGCAUAAGUUCGGAAGAAGAAAGCGAGCAAUCGCGCUGAGAGAGGAGCCCGCGGCCGAUUAGCUAGUUGGUGGGGUAAAGGCUCACCAAGGCAGAGAUCGGUAGCCGGCCUGAGAGGGCACACGGCCACACUGGCACUGAAACACGGGCCAGACUCCUACGGGAGGCAGCAGUGGGGAAUCUUGCACAAUGGGGGAAACCCUGAUGCAGCGACGCCGCGUGAGCGAUGAAGCCCUU